AUCCAUUCUAUCCUUAUCAUUUUGGGGAAAAGAGAGCAGAAAGAGAACAAAACAGGGGAAAAAAAAAGAAGGGAGAGAAAGAAGAAAGGAAGGAAAGAAGAAGAAAUGGGUGUGAGUUUUUUUAAGCUUGAGGUUUUCUUUCAUCAAUUCUUCUUAUUUUCAAGAGGUAAGUAAAAUGUAUGUUACUUGAAUUUUUAGGGUUUAUACAAAAAUUGAGUUUGACAAGAUUUAGGUGUUAUCCAUAUAUAUUUGAGAUUGUAAUUAAGAAUAUAGCAAAGAAAUGUUUAUUUUAAACAUAGUGUUGAAGUGGAAUUUUGAAUGGGUUUGUGAGAUAAAGAUGAAUUCUUUGAUUUUCUUUUGAUUAUGUGACAUUAAACAAUUAAGUUAAGGAAUUGAGCUUGAUUUCUUCAUUGUCGAGCAGUUAAUAUAAGCAAUUUUCAGACAAAAUCCUACACGUGCUAUUUUGAAAAUAAUCCUGUUCAUGUCAAUGGUUUCAGUGACACUUUCCAAUAUACAGAAACUGUGUCACAAUUCAAUAUUCUGGAAAUAUAGUGCUAGUUUUGGCAAUCAUGUGAUUUUCAUGGAUAUUUUGUCAUUGAAAUCAAAUUAAGUGUUAAAUAUUGAGGAUUAGGUGUUAAAAUAAUUUAUAUAAAGGAGUAGAUUUAAAAUUAAAGAUAUCAAGUUUCUAUUGGUAAAUUAUUAUUUCUAAUGGAGGGAAAAUUGAUUAAGACGCCUUUAAGAAGAGAUAUGAACUUUUGGGGCAAGUGCAAGAUGUCAUACAUAGUAUUUGGAUAGUAUUUGGAAUGAGAAGGCACCGAGAAGAUUGAAGUCACGAUCGAUCUACAACUUGGUGAACGAAAAAACUUAAAUAUUUUCAAGUAUUGAUAAAUUAAGUAUAUUAUUACCUUAUGUACAAUUAUAUGUUCGAUUAAAUUACUAUUAUGGAAAGUUUCUUCUACUAUGAUGCACGUGGAAUUUCAAAGACUAUGUAUGGUACAUUUGUGAAUUGGAAAGUCUAUAUGUGAUAUUGAGAUCGAUCGGAAAAGCACCCGUGAAUAUAUACUUCUUCUGGUUCACUGAGGGGCAAUGGUCGUGUUCUAUAUUAUAUUGAGGGGUUUUGACUAUGGAUGAAGACAUCUUGACCGUAUACAUAUAGUUCACUGAGUUGCAUUUGUUGUUUUCUAAAACUAAUUAUAAGAGGCCUUUGAGACCCACUUCUAUUCACUAAUGUGGCCUAAGGAACGUGUUAGGAGUACUUAGCUCAGGGCAAUCUACGCGGGGUUGACCAGAUUACAGAUGUUAGUCAUAGGGUAGAUUUUUGGUAAAUUUUUCAGUACAUUUAAUGUGAUGAGAUUAUAAUAUGGUUAUGAGUUGAUGUUUAUAGCAUGACUUUGAGAUAAUAUUUUACAGAAUUAUGAGAAUGUCUUACAUCUUGGCUAUAAUUAUAUGAUGUUGUCCUAUGAAUUUUUAAAUGAUAUAAAUUCGAUUUUUGAAAUUCUCCACUCACUAACCUAUCAACUCAUAUUUUUUCACCAUUUUCUUACAGGUAACAAUUGAAUCUUGAUAACUUGAAGAGCUUGAUGAUUUUAAAGUUAAAGCCACACGACAUAUUGAGUGAUAUGAUUCAUUUUGAGAAGCACGAGAUAAUUAUUUUGGGCCCAUUGCAUUAAUUUUUUCUCAUAGGCAUCUUAUAUGAUGCAUAAUUAGUAGUAACUUAUAGUCAGCAUUGGUGGUGCAUCUAGCAUCUAAUCAGUAUCUACCAUCGAUGCACAUCAUGUUUUGAUUCCAUAGUGUGAUUCAGGGCGUUGCAUGUCAGAAUGGUAUGAGAGCGUGGUUUUGAAAAAUUUUAUAAUUCAUGCAUUAGUAUAUCAUGCAUAUUGAACGUGUAUAAUCAUAUGUCGUGGUGAUAGAAAUCACGAGCUCUCAUGCUCUUGCUACUGGAAUGUAUGGAAAAUAAAAUUAUAGAACAACAAAUUUAGAAUUGACUAGUAUAUAAGCAUAUUAGUUGCAACGAUCCGAUGGUCGAAAUUGUUAUUGGUUUGUUGAGUCGAAAUUGUGGUGCAUGCAACCUAUUAAGAGUUGAAUAUAUUUCCAGUUUAAAAUGAUAGUUUUGAUGCUUUUGCAAGUUGUUUACAUAUAUGCAUUCGAAGUGAUGGAU
rnacentral:lncRNA from 1 species